CGAGGACCCUGGGACCACCGUUGGGCAAAGGUUCUUCACAGGCCACACGUCCUGAAUCCUUGCUCCCCACAAAGGACCACCGUUUCCACCACAGGCAGAAGCUUCUUCCUGCUUUCUUCUGAUUUCCUUUCUCACUGAGAUAUUUCCACUGAAUUAGCAAGAAGUUGUUCCAAUGGGACUCUGUUUGUUGGUGUCCAUUGAAGACCUCUAUUGCAUCUCUCCAUCCCAAGCUUCUGGUGACCACCUUGACCCUCACCGUCUCCUCCAAAAACCACACCGUGCUUCCACACCACACCUUGUGCAUGACAUGUGAAUUAGCAAGACGUCUUCAGCCAAGCACAAGUCAUCCUGGUGGGACUCUGUUUUGUGGUGUCCAUUGAAGACCUCUAUUGCAUCUCUCCAUCCCAAGCUUCUGGUGACCACCUUGACCCCCAACUUCUCCUCCAAACACCACACCGUGCUUCCAGAGCGCACCUUGUAUUUGCCAUGUGAAUUAGCACAAGUUGUCCUGGUGGGACUCUGUUUUUUGGUGUCCAUUAAAGACUUUUCUUGCAUCUCUCCAUCCCAAGCUUCUGGUGACCACCUUGACCCCCAUCUUCUCCUCCAAACACCACACCGUGCUUCCACACCACACCUUGUGCAUGACAUAUGAAUUAGCAAGACGUCUUCAGCCAAGCACAAGUCAUCCUGGUGGGACUCUGUUUUGUGGUGUCCAUUGGAGACUUCUCUUGCAUCUUUCCAUUGCAACCCAUGCGCCAAGCUUCUGGUGACCACCUUGACCCCCAACUUCUCCUCCAAACACCACACCAUGCUUCCAGAGCGCACCUUAUACAUGCCAUGUGAAUUAGCACAAGUUGUCCUGGUGGGACUGUUUUUUGGUGUCCAUUGAAGACUUCUCUUGCAUCUUUCCAUCGCAACCCAUGUGCCAAGCUUCUGGUGACCACCUUGACCCCCAACUUCUCCUCCAAACACCACACCAUACUUCCACAGCACAACUUGUGCAUGACAUGUGAAUUAGCAAGAAUUCGCAACCCAUGCGCCAAGCUUCUGGUGACCACUUUGACCACCACCUUCUCCUCCAAACACCACACCGUACUUCCAGAGCGCACCUUGUAGAUGCCAUGAGUAGUCCAACCAGAGGAAUCUGCUGAACCAUUUGGGUUGAACACUUGGUUGUCUCCUA
rnacentral:lncRNA from 1 species